rnacentral:rRNA from 1 species
UGAGGAAUAUUGGUCAAUGGGUGCAAGCCUGAACCAGCCAUCCCGCGUGAAGGACGACUGCCCUAUGGGUUGUAAACUUCUUUUGUACAGGGAUAAACCUGCCCUCGUGAGGGCAGCUGAAGGUACUGUACGAAUAAGCACCGGCUAACUCCGUGCCAGCAGCCGCGGUAAUACGGAGGGUGCGAGCGUUAUCCGGAUUUAUUGGGUUUAAAGGGUCCGUAGGCGGGCCUGUAAGUCAGUGGUGAAAUCUCAUAGCUUAACUAUGAAACUGCCAUUGAUACUGCAGGCCUUGAGUAAAUUUGAAGUGGCUGGAAUAAGUAGUGUAGCGGUGAAAUGCAUAGAUAUUACUUAGAACACCGAUUGCGAAGGCAGGUCACUAAGAUUUAACUGACGCUGAUGGACGAAAGCGUGGGGAGCGAACA